rnacentral:tRNA from 1 species
GCCUCUAUCGUCUAGUGGUUAGGACAUUAGCUUUUCGAGCUUAAGACAGGAGUUAGACUCUCCUUAGGGGUA